AGAGUUUGAUCAUGGCUCAGAUUGAACGCUGGCGGCGGGCCUAACACAUGCAAGUCGAGCGGCAGCGGGUCCUUCGGGAUGCCGGCGAGCGGCGGACGGGUGAGUAAUGCCUAGGAAUCUGCCUGGUAGUGGGGGAUAACUCGGGGAAACUCGAGCUAAUACCGCAUACGUCCUACGGGAGAAAGUGGGGGAUCUUCGGACCUCACGCUAUCAGAUGAGCCUAGGUCGGAUUAGCUAGUAGGUGAGGUAAAGGCUCACCUAGGCGACGAUCCGUAACUGGUCUGAGAGGAUGAUCAGUCACACUGGAACUGAGACACGGCCCAGACUCCUACGGGAGGCAGCAGUGGGGAAUUUUGGACAAUGGGGGCAACCCUGAUCCAGCCAUCCCGCGUGUGCGAUGAAGGCCUUCGGGUUGUAAAGCACUUUUGGCAGGAAAGAAACGGCCCUGGUUAAUACCUGGGGCAACUGACGGUACCUGCAGAAUAAGCACCGGCUAACUACGUGCCAGCAGCCGCGGUAAUACGUAGGGUGCAAGCGUUAAUCGGAAUUACUGGGCGUAAAGCGUGCGCAGGCGGUUCGGAAAGAAAGAUGUGAAAUCCCAGGGCUUAACCUUGGAACUGCAUUUUUAACUACCGGGCUAGAGUGUGUCAGAGGGAGGUGGAAUUCCGCGUGUAGCAGUGAAAUGCGUAGAGAUGCGGAGGAACACCGAUGGCGAAGCAGCCUCCUGGGAUAACACUGACGCUCAUGCACGAAAGCGUGGGGAGCAAACAGGAUUAGAUACCCUGGUAGUCCACGCCCUAAACGAUGUCAACUAGCUGUUGGGGGCU
rnacentral:rRNA from 1 species